rnacentral:rRNA from 1 species
GGAGUUAGCCGGUGCUUCUUCUGUGAGUGAUGUCCUUCCUGCCGGCUAUUAACCCGCAGGCCUUCUUCCUCACUGAAAGUGCUUUACAACCCGAAGGCCUUCUUCACACACGCGGCAUGGCUGGAUCAGGGUUGCCCCCAUUGUCCAAUAUUCCCCACUGCUGCCUCCCGUAGGAGUCUGGGCCGUGUCUCAGUCCCAGUGUGGCUGAUCAUCCUCUCAGACCAGCUACGGAUCGUCGCCUUGGUGAGCCGUUACCUCACCAACCAGCUAAUCCGACAUAGGCUCAUCCGAUAGCGCGAGGCCCGAAGGUCCCCCGCUUUCCCCCGUAGGGCGUACUGCGGUAUUAGCCUGGGUUUCCCCAGGUUAUCCCCCACUACCGGGCAGAUUCCUAUGCAUUACUCACCCGUCCGCCGCUCGCCACCAGGGANCAAGCUCCCCGUGCUGCCGCUCGACUUGCAUGUGUUAGGCCUGCCGCCAGCGUUCAAUCUGAGCCAUAAUCAAACUCUGA